rnacentral:rRNA from 1 species
CUGAGUACGGCGGAACACGUGAAAUUCCGUCGGAAUCCGGGAGGACCAUCUCCCAAGGCUAAAUACUCCCUAGUGACCGAUAGUGAACCAGUACCGUGAGGGAAAGGUGAAAAGCACCCCGGAAGGGGAGUGAAACAGUUCCUGAAACCGUGUGCCUACAAGUAGUUAGAGCCCGUUAAUGGGUGAUAGCGUGCCUUUUGUAGAAUGAACCGGCGAGUUACGAUUUGUUGCAAGGUUAAGCGGAAAAAGCGGAGCCGUAGCGAAAGCGAGUCUGAAUAGGGCGCAUAAGUAACAGGUCGUAGACCCGAAACCAGGUGAUCUACCCAUGUCCAGGAUGAAGGUAAGGUAAUACUUACUGGAGGUCCGAACCCACGCACGUUGAAAAGUGCGGGGAUGAGGUGUGGGUAGCGGAGAAAUUCCAAUCGAACUUGGAGAUAGCUGGUUCUCUCCGAAAUAGCUUUAGGGCUAGCCUCGAGGUAAAGAGUCAUGGAGGUAGAGCACUGUUUGGACUAGGGGCCCUUCUCGGGUUACCGAAUUCAGAUAAACUCCGAAUGCCAUGUACUUAUACUCGGGAGUCAGACUGCGAGUGAUAAGAUCCGUAGUCGAAAGGGAAACAGCCCAGACCACCAGUUAAGGUCCCCAAAUAUAUGUUAAGUGGAAAAGGAUGUGGGGUUGCUUAGACAACCAGGAUGUUGGCUUAGAAGCAGCCACCAUUGAAAGAGUGCGUAAUAGCUCACUGGUCGAGUGACCCCGCGCCGAAAAUGUACCGGGGCUAAACAUAUUACCGAAACUGUGGAUGAACCUCUUUAGAGGUUCGUGGUAGGAGAGCGUUCUAAGGGCGGUGAAGUCAGACCGGAAGGACUGGUGGAGCGCUUAGAAGUGAGAAUGCCGGUAUGAGUAGCGAAAGAAGGGUGAGAAUCCCUUCCACCGAAUAUCUAAGGUUUCCUGAGGAAGGCUCGUCCGCUCAGGGUUAGUCGGGACCUAAGCCGAGGCCGAUAGGCGUAGGCGAUGGACAACAGGUAGAGAUUCCUGUACCAGUGCUAAUUGUUUAACCGAUGGGGUGACACAGAAGGAUAGGGAAUCGCACGAAUGGAAAUGUGCGUCCAAGCAGUGAGUGUGAGAAGUAGGCAAAUCCGCUUCUCGCGAAGCAUGAGCUGUGAUGGGGAAGGAAAUUAAGUACGGAAGUUCCUGAUUUCACGCUGUCAAGAAAAGCCUCUAGGAAGAGUAGUACUGCCCGUACCGCAAACCGACACAGGUAGAUGAGGAGAGAAUCCUAAGGUGAGCGAGAGAACUCUCGUUAAGGAACUCGGCAAAAUGACCCCGUAACUUCGGGAGAAGGGGUGCUCUAUUAGGGUGCAAGCCCGAGAGAGCCGCAGUGAAUAGGCCCAGGCGACUGUUUAGCAAAAACACAGGUCUCUGCAAAACCGUAAGGUGACGUAUAGGGGCUGACGCCUGCCCGGUGCUGGAAGGUUAAGAGGAGUGCUUAGCUUCGGCGAAGGUACGAAUUGAAGCCCCAGUAAACGGCGGCCGUAACUAUAACGGUCCUAAGGUAGCGAAAUUCCUUGUCGGGUAAGUUCCGACCCGCACGAAAGGCGCAACGAUCUGGGCACUGUCUCAACGAGAGACUCGGUGAAAUUAUAGUACCUGUGAAGAUGCAGGUUACCCGCGACAGGACGGAAAGACCCCGUGGAGCUUUACUGCAACCUGAUAUGGAAUGUUUGUACCGCUUGUACAGGAUAGGUAGGAGCCGAAGAGACGUGUGCGCUAGCAUACGAG